rnacentral:lncRNA from 1 species
AGGCGGGCAAAUCACUUGAGGUCAGGAGUUCGAGACCAGUCUGGCCAACAUGGUGAAACCCCUCUCUACUAAAAAUAUCAAAAUUAGCUGGGAGUGGUGGUGAGCGCCUGUAAUUCCAGUUACUCAGGAGGCUGAGGCAGGAGAAUUGCUGAACUUGGGAGGCGGAGGUUGCAGUGAGCUGACAUGGCGCCACUACAUUCCAGCCUGGGCGACAGAGCAAGACUCUGUCUCAGAAAAACAAACAAACAAACAAACAAAAAAACAGAAAAGAAAAAGAUUAGCAAAUUAGCCGUCUCUAAUUUGUUCUGGAUCUGGAAGCCAGAUAAUGAAACUUGUUAGAAUAACAAAUGGGCUGUGAAUGAGAGGCUGAGGUGCUGUCCUAUGAAUAUAGUGUUUAUAUAUUAAUUCAUGAACUGGGUUACCCCUUGCCCACCUCUCUCAACUCACUCCUUUUUGAGAUAUAUAUUUGAGGCCUUAAGCUUAGUUCUGGGUAGGCUUCUAACACAUCACCUUGUUUCUGUCUCAAGACCUUUUCAUUUUCUCUUCCCUCUGUCUAGAGUGCUGAAUAACAAGAAAGGUCAUCAAAGACAUGAUGAAAUAUUUUUAGAUAUUUUUAAGACAAGCCCCAAAAGUGUCUCUCUUACUUACAUCCUAUUGGCCACAUGGUUCUAAUCUAACUCCAAGGGAAUCUGGGAAAUGUAGUUUUUUGUGUACCCCAAAAGAAGAAACACAUAGCACUACCUCUGCGAUGUGAUCCUUGGCGGCCAGUCUCACAAGGGUUCAUUUUUGACCAACGCCAAUAGAGUUCAAGAGAAUCUCUUCCUUGAAGGAAUAGUUCUCUAUCAUCUCCAAGUUUUAGCGCCACCCACACAACACUAUAGCCACGCACAUGAAGGGAAUAUGUUCCGAAAAGGAGCUAAAUCAACUAGCUAGUGCAUCUUCACCCUUUGAUGUGGGAGACUUGUGUUCAUUUCCCUAGGGCACCCUUAACAUCUUGCACCACUACGUGUAACCCCUACGGAAUCCAGACAUUAAUAGUUCUUUGGGCAAUUCACAAUCAAAUGAAUAGCCAAGUUAUAGUAAAUAGGGAGAAAGUAGAAAUCCUUCUAAGUCAAAGGGAGUGUAGGCCAUUACUAUGUUAUAGAAGGAAUUUCAGGACAGAGGGAUGAACUGUUCCUCAACCCCAGAGCAGUUAUAAUAGUUAACACUGGCCAUGUGCUCACUGUGAGCCAUGCCUUGUGUGAACAUAUUCCACAAAUUACUUUACAAUUCCUACAACAAACAUCUGAGGGAGUAUUCUUAUUCCCAUUCUACAGAUGAAUACAUUGAGACCUCCGGAGGUCAAGUGACAUUCUGAAGUCAUGUGAUAGUGAAUGGUGGUGUGUAAUUCCAACCCAGCUGUCUGAGUCCAGAGCCAAUAUGUUACACUCUAAUGACUCUGGACCCUGUGAAGUUAAAUUCAGAAACCUGAGAUUGUGCUGCUCCUCAAACUAGGAUUGAUGUCAUCCUAUGAAAUAAAGAGCAAGUUUGGGACUCCUGCCUAAUGACCCUGUGGAACUGAUCAGUGUCACAUGAUCCUAAUCAUGUACAGCAGAGACACACAUGUACAUAUAUAAUCUCAAUGCUCUAAAGUCAGGUGUGCCAUUGGGCAGUACACAAUCAAUUGUCAAACACAUGGCACUAGCAAUUGAGUGUUAAGCUGUCUCUACAAGGUAUAAAUAAGAAUGUGGAAAGAAAGAAGUUUGCUAGAUACAGGAUGCCAGCUGUAAUUUCAAGAAAAUGUUGAUUGCAUGUUUUAGGAACUAUUCCACAAAGCCUUGCUCCAGUACAGAUUUUCCUUGUAAGGUAGCAUGAAAAAAAGAGAGAGAAAUUUUUAUUUUUAUUUGGUGUUUAUUGUUUCUUCGUCAGCAGCUGUGCCGAUGUGGUGUUGAUUAUGCAGAGAAGAAUUAUUUUGAUUAUUGACAGUUGGCAUUCUUCUCAUAAUUUGGAGUUCUUCAUCUCAGAAUUGUUUCCUCACCUCCUCUCCUGUCUGCACAUGAAUAAAAAUUUAAACGCACUUGCCAGGAUUCUUACCCAAGGCAGCUGUUAGGAGGACUGUAGUUGAAAGUUCAGAUGCAAUUUGAUGUAAACCUCUCCCUGCCGUUUGUUCCUUUCUGUGAGCCUGACUUCAGAGCAAUGGAGCUUGCAUGGUUCAUCACCAGCAUCUGAAAGGCCUCCCCACAAAGAAAAAGCUAUGCUCUGUGUUAUGGCUUCAUCCCCCUGCAACCUUAUCUGCUGGCUGUGUGCCCCUCUCUCCCAGCAGCGUUCAUUCGGAAAUGUACUUCAACGGGUUACCCGUCAGGGUUGGCUCACACGAAUACUCUGUGCUACUUUCUGUAUUUUUUUCUUAGAAAAAAGACUGCUUAGAAAAACAAAAACAAAAGUGAUCUAUAGAUCCCCUUUCAGGUGAUUUUCUUUUGCCUUUUUUUCUUUUCUUUUUCUUUUAAGACAGGGUCUCACUCUGUUGCCCAGGCUGGAGUGUAGUGGCAAAAUCACGGCUCACUGCAGCCUUGAACUCCUGGGUUCAAGCGAUCCUUCAGGUGAGACACACCUCAAAUGACAGAAUCCCACAUCAAGCUUUCUCUCCUGGGGAGUUAACCCCCCUGGGGCUAACCCUUCACAAAGGCGGGAUGGAAGCCAGUGGAAAAGUACCCAGCUUUUCCUCCUUUACCUACUGUUCAGAGAUCCCAGAAGAAUCAAACCCUGGUGUCUGCAGCAGUGAGCCUGUGUGUUUCCUUAUCUCGGCUUUUCCUCCUUCUCUGGAUCAUCUCCCAAACAAGCAAAUCAUGCAUCUAAGUCCUUGUACUUAGGCUCUGCUUCUGGGGAGACGCAAAAUAAAACAGUUAAAAAAAAUUUCCCCCGAGUUAAUUUGCUUUUGCUUUCUCCUUUCCCAGAUCUUAUCUAUUUUUAUUGUUUUGGAGUAAGUAUGAAAAUGUAUUCUUUUGGCUGGGCGCAGUGGCUCACGCCUGUAAUCCCAGCACUUUGGGAGGCUGAGGCGGGUGGAUCAUCUGAGGAUGGGAGUUUGAGACCAGCUUGGCCAAUGUGGUGAAACCCCAUCUCUACUAAAAAUACAAAAAUUA